GAGUUGAAGCAAAUGUUUGUUGAAAUAAGUGGAGAUUUCCUGGUUUUCUUUAGCAGGAAAAAAGGAGAAAAAAAGUGUCUUUAUUGGUUGAGCUCGGGGUGUUCUGUGAUUACCUUACUUUCCCUCUGCUGUGAUCUUUCUUUUUUUGCUGCUUUGCUUUCAGAUAAUGUUUUCCGUUCCAGUUACUUGUUCCAGUUACAGAGAGGGUGCCUGCCGGUGGGCUGUGUGUGGCUCUGUGUAGGGGCUUACUCUGAUGGAACGGAACGUAGCUGGUAGGAUGUUCUGCAUGGGCUAAAGAUCAGAGCUCUGUAGAGAGGCUGCGCUGAGUGGCAUUAUGGAUGAGGAUAAUCGGGAAGAGCAUACAACCUAGGCCAUGAACUAUGAGUGUUGCAGAGGGCAGGACCUGCUUGGGGAACCUUUUAGGACGUAUUGUUCAGUAAAAGCUGCCUGCCUGGCUGACUGGAUGCCGGCUGGUUGGGUGUGAGUGAGCCUAACUACGUGCUCCGUGAGAAGGGGAUUCCAGAACCAAACCCAAUUAAUGGUCAGAAAACGGACGGCUGGGCUGGGCUGCAGAGGGGAGGGGAAGGCCGAGGCUGGGCUGGCCACGCCUGUUCCCACUAUGAGCGCUGUGCCCCAGAGUCUCCAGUCUCUCUACUAUACCUCCUCCACUGUACCUCCUGGAGCUACCUGGAGCUCUAGAGGACACACUCAGUAAUACCCUUCUCAGCUACACCAAGAGCCUCGGCUGAUAAGAGUGAAAUCAAAGCUGCACAUCACAAGGAAAAUGACUAUUAGGGACUAGAAAUAUCUCUAUUAAAAUGCACAGAUUAUAGUGUUCUCCAGACCGCCAGAGUGGGCCUGCCUGACUGACUUACUACCUGACUGCCUGACUUACUACCUGACUGCCUGCCUGACAGCCUGACUGCACAGUUCAUCCUGCCUCAGUUCCCACUCUCUGCUUCCUCACCGCUGCCUCUCUCUCUCUCUCUCUUGGUCACCUUCCUCGUCUGUCUCUUGUCAAGCUCUUAAUCUCGAUCUCUUUCUCUGUCCUGUACUUGUUUUAAAUGUUUCUGUAAGCCUUAUGUUUCCCUUGCAGUGAUUUGGAAAGAAAGACAGGAUUUGACAUUUAACACAUAAAAUGAUUGUAAUGCUAUGAAAUAAUACAUAUUUGAAUUAAUAAAUAUCUAUUUCAUAUUUUAAAUUUAAAUAACAAUGUUUAAUACAAAAUAUACCUGUGUGUUAAAGGUGUACAGGAAAUGAAAUUAAAUCUUCUAACUGAAACUGACAUAGUCAGGAUGCCACCCAGCUGUACCCCCACUGUGAAUAGUGUGGGCAACAUCCCCUCAUGUCAGUAGGCUGUACCCCCACUGUGAAUAGUGUGGGCAACAUCCCCUCAUGUCAGUCAGCUGUACCCCCACUGUGAAUAGUGUGGGCAACAUCCCCUCAUGUCAGUCAGCUGUACCCCCACUGUGAAUAGUGUGGGCAACAUCCCCUCAUGUCAGUCAGCUGUACCCCCACUGUGAAUAGUGUGGGCAACAUCCCCUCAUGUCAGUCAGCUGUACCCCCACUGUGAAUUGUGUGGGCAACAUCCCCUCAUGUCAGUCAGCUGUACCCCCACUGUGAAUAGUGUGGGCAACAUCCCCUCAUGUCAGUCAGCUCUACCCCCACUGUGAAUAGUGUGGGCAACAUCCCCUCAUGUCAGUAGGCUGUACCCCCACUGUGAAUAGUGUGGGCAACAUCCCCUCAUGUCAGUCAGCUCUACCCCCACUGUGAAUAGUGUGGGCAACAUCCCCUCAUGUCAGUCAGCUGUACCCCCACUGUGAAUAGUGUGGGCAACAUCCCCUCAUGUCAGUCAGCUGUACCCCCACUGUGAAUAGUGUGGGCAACAUCCCCUCAUGUCAGUCAGCUGUACCCCCACUGUGAAUAGUGUGGGCAACAUCCCCUCAUGUCAGUCAGCUGUACCCCCACUGUGAAUAGUGUGGGCAACAUCCCCUCAUGUCAGUCAGCUGUACCCCCACUGUGAAUAGUGUGGGCAACAUCCCCUCAUGUCAGUCAGCUGUACCCCCACUGUGAAUAGUGUGGGCAACAUCCCCUCAUGUCAGUCAGCUGUACCCCCACUGUGAAUAGUGUGGGCAACAUCCCCUCAUGUCAGUCAGCUGGAGAGGAGGGGACCCGGCACACACAAGCCUUCUGCUUUGUUAUAGGUUCAGUAGGGUAGAUGUGAAUACAGCCCAUCGGUAUGUGGAACUCUAAGCACUCACGGUUCCCGAAAGUCAUACAGGCAGAAGUGUGCCUGUCCAUGUGAUUACACACUGUAGCCAGUCCUGUAAAACAGGGGAGGGAGGGCUCACAGGCUCUCUCUCACACACACACAACAGUACACAUGUAGCCCAACAACUCCUCCAUACAACUGGUGGCAGGAUGGGUAUGAAUGAGAAGCUCUCAGCAAUCCAGUUUGUCACGUCGUUAGUCCCCAAAAUGUACUGAUUAUUUGUAGAUGUUGUUUUCUAUACAGUAACAGUGCAUCUGAAGGUACUUGUGUAGGUAGAAUGGUUAAUUGUCACAUCAUUACAGUUUUACUGCAGUUCAUUGCAGUUUUAAGUCGGUCUAAUAGAGUUUGAUAUGUGAAAACGAACCACUACAUUCUGACUUUCCUAUAGUCCCCCCCAUCAUUUUUAAAGUAUCUCCGAUUAAUAAGGUGUCAGCUAAGCAGUUUGUCAUAAACAUGU